UGAAUGUGCAGAUCUUGGCACAAGCUCAAGACACUGAUUCAAGGAUGGCCUUUCAACACUGAACUUCCAGAAUGCUUUGGAGCAGCAUGCUUCCAUCUUCAGGCCAUUUAUGCGUGCAAGAGUGGAACAGCUGACAUCCAAAAUAUUGGAGGAAAUAUUUGAGGUUCAGCUCAGUGAAAAGGGUAGCAGCAGACGACAUGAGGAAACAAGAGUGCUAGGAUUCUGGAGAGACUUUCUCCUUGACGCAGAAG